rnacentral:rRNA from 1 species
GACGAACGCUGGCGGCGUGCCUAAUACAUGCAAGUUGAGCGCUGAAGGUUGGUACUUGUACCAACUGGAUGAGCAGCGAACGGGUGAGUAACGCGUGGGGAAUCUGCCUUUGAGCGGGGGACAACAUUUGGAAACGAAUGCUAAUACCGCAUAAAAACUUUAAACACAAGUUUUAAGUUUGAAAGAUGCAAUUGCAUCACUCAAAGAUGAUCCCGCGUUGUAUUAGCUAGUUGGUGAGGUAGAGGCUCACCAAGGCGAUGAUACAUAGCCGACCUGAGAGGGUGAUCGGCCACAUUGGGACUGAGACACGGCCCAAACUCCUACGGGAGGCAGCAGUAGGGAAUCUUCGGCAGUGGACGAAAGUCUGACCGAGCAACGCCGCGUGAGUGAAGAAGGUUUUCGGAUCGUAAAACUCUGUUGGUAGAGAAGAACGUUGGUGAGAGUGGAAAGCUCAUCAAGUGACGGUAACUACCCAGAAAGGGACGGCUAACUACGUG